rnacentral:lncRNA from 1 species
GUCGUCGUCGCCGACUCGCCGAGUGCCAAUCGUCUCGGAUCGUCGCCCUCAUCUCCCUUCUCCUCCAGGCUCCACCCCCUCACCGCCAAAAUUGAUCGUCACUUGAGCUGCAUCGGCUCUAGUCGGCUCUCAGGUUAGGGUUUUUUGAUCAACCUCUGCAGCAUCAUUUUCCCUUCCAGUGGAUCCAUCAUUAGAAUCAGAAAGGUGGACUUUGGACAAGGAACUGGCAUCUUCAACUUCUCCAUUCAUGGUUUCCUCUUCAUUAGUGCCAUCACUGAGCAUUGUUUGUUCUGCACUUCCAUCGUCUAAGAUAGUUCUUGCUUCCAGAUUUAUUGGUUUAUUAGAGAUCCAGUACUUGGAAGUCUAUUUGAUAAAUCUAUUUGGAAAGGGUUGGCAGGGUGCUCGGGCCAUCGUCAUCGAUGGUCCAAGGCUUAACUGGGAAGCAACUGCGGUGGCUGAAGAGCGAAGGCCGCCCAUCGGUG